rnacentral:rRNA from 1 species
AUUGAACGCUGGCGGCAUGCCUUACACAUGCAAGUCGAACGGCAGCACGGGGCAACCUGGUGGCGAGUGGCGAACGGGUGAGUAAUACAUCGGAACGUGCCCAAUCGUGGGGGAUAACGUAGCGAAAGUUACGCUAAUACCGCAUACGAUCUACGGAUGAAAGCGGGGGAUCGCAAGACCUCGCGCGAGUGGAGCGGCCGAUGUCAGAUUAGGUAGUUGGUGGGGUAAAGGCUCACCAAGCCAACGAUCUGUAGCUGGUCUGAGAGGACGACCAGCCACACUGGAACUGAGACACGGUCCAGACUCCUACGGGAGGCAGCAGUGGGGAAUCUUAGGCAAUGGACGAAAGUCUGACCUAGCGACGCCGCGUGAGGGAAGAAGGCCUUCGGGUUGUAAACCGUCUGUCAUGGGGAAGAAGGAAGUGACGGUACCCCAAGAGGAAGCCCCUGCUAACUACGUGCCAGCAGCCGCGUAAAAGUACUCUAU